rnacentral:rRNA from 1 species
UGCAAGCGCAUGACGACCUCUGGGUCACCUCCCACCCAUGUUUAUUGUACCUUGUUGCUUCGGCGGGCCCGCCUCACGGCCGCCGGGGGGCUUCUGCCCUCUGGCCCGCGCCCGCCGAAGACACCAUUGAACACUGUCUGAAGAUUGCAGUCUGAGCAAUUAGCUAAAUAAGUUAAAACUUUCAACAACGGAUCUCUUGGUUCCGGCAUCGAUGAAGAACGCAGCGAAAUGCGAUACGUAAUGUGAAUUGCAGAAUUCAGUGAAUCAUCGAGUCUUUGAACGCACAUUGCGCCCCUUGGUAUUCCGGGGGGCAUGCCUGUCCGAGCGUCAUUGCUGCCCUCAAGCACGGCUUGUGUGUUGGGCCCCGUCCUCCUUCCCGGGGGACGGGCCCGAAAGGCAGCGGCGGCACCGCGUCCGGUCCUCGAGCGUAUGGGGCUUUGUCACCCGCUCUUGUAGGCCCGGCCGGCGCUUGCCGACAACCAUCAAUCUUUUUUCAGGUUGACCUCGGAUCAGGUAGGGAUACCCGCUGAACUUAAGCAUAUCAAUAAGCGGAGGAG